GUGGGGAAUUUUGGACAAUGGGCGCAAGCCUGAUCCAGCAAUGCCGCGUGCAGGAAGAAGGCCUUCGGGUUGUAAACUGCUUUUGUACGGAACGAAACGGUCCGGGUUAAUACCCUGGGCUAAUGACGGUACCGUAAGAAUAAGCACCGGCUAACUACGUGCCAGCAGCCGCGGUAAUACGUAGGGUGCAAGCGUUAAUCGGAAUUAUUGGGCGUAAAGCGUGCGCAGGCGGUUUUGUAAGACAGGCGUGAAAUCCCCGGGCUCAACCUGGGAAUUGCGCUUGUGACUGCAAGGCUGGAGUGCGGCAGAGGGGGAUGGAAUUCCGCGUGUAGCAGUGAAAUGCGUAGAUAUGCGGAGGAACACCGAUGGCGAAGGCAAUCCCCUGGGCCUGCACUGACGCUCAUGCACGAAAGCGUGGGGAGCAAACAGGAUUAGAAACCCUAGUAGUCC
rnacentral:rRNA from 1 species